GAAGGGUCCAGAAGCCACGGGAACGAACGGGAAGCAAUUCGGGCUCGGGGGCUGGGCGCCCGCCCACCCCCCUUGGGCGCCCGCCCUGGCCAGGAAGCCAAUCAGGACUCUGCUUCGGGACUACGCUCCACCGACCUAAAGGAUCAAUCUAAACCAUACAAUCUAUGUCGGUUUGAUCCAAUGGCUCACGUUCACUUGAAGGGACUAUAAAACCAGACCCCCUGGCCCCUGGAGGAGAGGAGGAGAAAUCAUUAUUCAGAGGUAGCCAUCAAAGUUAGGGUUUAGAGCUUCUCUCCCAC
rnacentral:lncRNA from 1 species